rnacentral:rRNA from 1 species
CUGAGACACGGCCCAGACUCCUACGGGAGGCAGCAGUGGGGAAUAUUGCACAAUGGGCGAAAGCCUGAUGCAGCGACGCCGCGUGAGGGAUGACGGCCUUCGGGUUGUAAACCUCUUUCGACAGGGACGAAGCGCAAGUGACGGUACCUGUAGAAGAAGCACCGGCCAACUACGUGCCAGCAGCCGCGGUAAUACGUAGGGUGCGAGCGUUGUCCGGAAUUACUGGGCGUAAAGAGCUUGUAGGCGGUUCGUCGCGUCGAUUGUGAAAACUUGCAGCUCAACUGCAAGCUUGCAGUCGAUACGGGCGGACUAGAGUACUUCAGGGGAGACUGGAAUUCCUGGUGUAGCGGUGAAAUGCGCAGAUAUCAGGAGGAACACCGGUGGCGAAGGCGGGUCUCUGGGAAGUAACUGACGCUGAGAAGCGAAAGCGUGGGUAGCGAACAGGAUUAGAUACCCUGGUAGUCCACGCCGUAAACGGUGGGUACUAGGUGUGGGUUUCCUUCCACGGGAUCCGUGCCGUAGCUAACGCAUUAAGUACCCCGCCUGGGGAGUACGGCCGCAAGGCUAAAACUCAAAGGAAUUGACGGGGGCCCGCACAAGCGGCGGAGCAUGUGGAUUAAUUCGAUGCAACGCGAAGAACCUUACCUGGGUUUGACAUACACCAGAAAGCCGUAGAGAUACGGCCCCCCUUGUGGUUGGUGUACAGGUGGUGCAUGGCUGUCGUCAGCUCGUGUCGUGAGAUGUUGGGUUAAGUCCCGCAACGAGCGCAACCCUUAUCUUAUGUUGCCAGCGCGUAAUGGCGGGGACUCGUGAGAGACUGCCGGGGUCAACUCGGAGGAAGGUGGGGACGACGUCAAGUCAUCAUGCCCCUUAUGUCCAGGGCUUCACACAUGCUACAAUGGCCGGUACAGAGGGCUGCGAUACCGUGAGGUGGAGCGAAUCCCUUAAAGCCGGUCUCAGUUCGGAUCGGGGUCUGCAACUCGACCCCGUGAAGUUGGAGUCGCUAGUAAUCGCAGAUCAGCAACGCUGCGGUGAAUACGUUCCCGGGCCUUGUACACACCGCCCGUCACGUCAUGAAAGUCGGUAAC